rnacentral:rRNA from 1 species
UGAUAGCUGGGUGUGCUGUAUGUCGAGCGAGGGACCGUAGCUUGUCUGAUGUCAGCGGCGGACGGGUGAGUAACACGUGGGUACCUGCCUGUAGACUGGGAUAACUCCGGGAAACCGGGGCUAAUACCGGAUGCUUGAUUGAACCGCAUGUUAAAUUAUGAAAGGUGGCUUUUAGCAGCACUUAAUGAGGGACCGGCUUAGAUAGUUUUCGUGAGUAUGGUCUCACCAUGGUAGCAAGGUGGGCCCAGGGAGGGGGGCGGACGAUUGGGAUAUCACGGGUUCAUUUGUUUGCAGGGGGUAGUAGAUGCGAAUGAUAUGGUAUGGAAAGGUGCGUGUUGAGGGUUUGGCCCAAAAACUCGUUUGUGGGGAAGAAAAAGACCGUCGAAGGGGGUGUUCCCUUGAGGGACCUAACAAAAAGCGGGGGUUAAUUAGGGGCCAGACCGGGGAAAUACUUGGGGGGAGGCGUUUUCAGAAAAUAUUUCCCUAAAGCCCCCCCCCCUUUUUUUUAUUUUAGUUUAAAACCCCCCCCCCCCCCGGGGGGGAUGGAAAAGGGGCCCUCGGCCAAAAAGGGGAAAACCCCCCCCCUGGGGCAAAAUUCGGGGGGGGGGAAAAAACCCUUGGGGGUUCCUCUCUUUUUUUAUAUAAGGGGGGGGAAAAGAAGGGGGGGGAGAAAAAAAAAUACUGGGCCUCCCUCCUUCCUUUAUAAAUAGAGGGAGAGGGGGGGGGGCCCUCCCCCCCCCUCUGGGGAAAAAAAAAAAAAAAUAUUUACCCCCCCCCCCGGGGGGGGGGGAAAUAAAAAAAAAUAUAGAGGGGCGAAGUGGGGGAUAUUUUUAUAUUCGGAGGCCGAAAAUAUCUCGGGUGUGGUAUCUUAUCCCUGUGUGUGUGUCUCUCUCGGGGAGCACACAAGGGAUUUCUCUCUCCCUCGGAGGAGUAGUGUGAUAAUCCUCAAGCGCCGCGUUCUCUGAGAGCCUCCUUGGGAUACUAAUAGCGCGCGCAGAAGGGAGAGGGGUGAUCCA